AUUGAACGCUGGCGGCAGGCCUAACACAUGCAAGUCGAGCGGAUGAAGGGAGCUUGCUCCUGGAUUCAGCGGCGGACGGGUGAGUAAUGCCUAGGAAUCUGCCUGGUAGUGGGGGAUAACGUCCGGGAACGGGCGCUAAUACCGCAUACGUCCUGAGGGAGAAAGUGGGGGAUCUUCGGACCUCACGCUAUCAGAUGAGCCUAGGUCGGAUUAGCUAGUUGGUGGGGUAAAGGCCCACCAAGGCGACGAUCCGUAACUGGUCUGAGAGGAUGAUCAGUCACACUGGAACUGAGACACGGUCCAGACUCCUACAGGAGGCAGCAGUGGGGAAUAUUGGACAAUGGGCGAAAGCCUGAUCCAGCCAUGCCGCGUGUGUGAAGAAGGUCUUCGGAUUGUAAAGCACUUUAAGUUGGGAGGAAGGGUAGUAAGUUAAUACCUUGCUGUUUUGACGUUACCAACAGAAUAAGCACCGGCUAACUUCGUG
rnacentral:rRNA from 1 species